rnacentral:rRNA from 1 species
AUUGAACGCUGGCGGCAUGCUUUACACAUGCAAGUCGAACGGCAGCACGGGGGCAGCCCUGGUGGCGAGUGGCGAACGGGUGAGUAAUACAUCGGAACGUGCCCGGUCGUGGGGGAUAACGUAGCGAAAGUUACGCUAAUACCGCAUACGAUCUGAGGAUGAAAGCGGGGGACCUUCGGGCCUCGCGCGAUCGGAGCGGCCGAUGUCAGAUUAGGUAGUUGGUGGGGUAAAGGCCUACCAAGCCGACGAUCUGUAGCUGGUCUGAGAGGCCGACCAGCCACACUGGGACUGAGACACGGCCCAGACUCCUACGGGAGGCAGCAGUGGGGAAUUUUGGACAAUGGGCGCAAGCCUGAUCCAGCCAUUCCGCGUGCAGGACGAAGGCCUUCGGGUUGUAAACUGCUUUUGUACGGAACGAAAAGGCUCUGGCUAAUACCUGGGGCUCAUGACGGUACCGUAAGAAUAAGCACCGGCUAACUACGUG